CUUGCUAAUGCAUUUUUCAGUGUGCCCCUGGACACAUCCUGCCAAUACCUCUUUGCUUUUACUCAUGAAGGUCAGCAAUAUACAUGGACUGUUAUGCCUCAGGGGGCUCAGAAUUCGCCCACUCAGUUUGCCCGUGCCAUGUCAAUGGUUCUGGAACCCUGGCAAAAGACUCACACAGAUGUAGUCCUGCUUCAAUAUGUUGAUGACUUACUUCCCUGUGCUGCUGAUCUCCAAACUGCUGAACGUGUUUCUGAAGACCUACUUUGCUUCUUAGCUGAAAAAGGCUGUAAGGCCAAGCUUCAAUGGUGCCGGCCCUCAGUGGUCUUCUUGGGACAUUGCCUUUCCCAUGGCACCCGCCACCUUACCAAGGACAGGAUUUUAGCCAUUUUGAAUUUACCAGUUCCUUCUGCUCAUCAAUCUCUCCAUGCCUUCUUAGGCCUCAUCACAUUUUGCAGAUCCUGGAUUCCUGAAGCUUCUCAACUGAUGCAACCACUAUAUGAUGCCCUGAAACGCGAGCCUUUCUCACUUUCACCAAAUGCCAUUGCCUGUUUCACUGAUCUAAAGAAGGCUAUCGCAUCAGCACUAGCCUUGGGCCUACCGAACUACCAACUGCCUUUCAAGUUGUUCGUGUCUGAGAAACUGGGCCACGCCUCCGGAGUACUUACUCAACAACAUGGCUCCAGACAAAGACCCAUAGGCUACUUCUCUUGCAUGCUUGAUCCUGCUGCCAGAGGCAGCCCCUCCUGCCUGAGGGCAGUGUUUGCAGCUAGUGCCCUGCUGGAUAAAACUAAUGAUUUCAUUCUCUGCCAUUCAUUGACCGUUUUGGCACCACAUGAUAUUUCUGCAAUACUUCAACAAACCCAACCAAGGCAUCUCUCCUCUCAGCGUCAUCUACGUUACUUGCUACUCACUGAACCCAGCCACUCUUCUGCCAUUUCCCAAGGGGGGAGUGGCACAGUACUGGUACAGCCUGGAUAUCAACCCAGAUGCCCGGAUGGAAGUGGCACAGUACUGGUACAGCCUGGAUAUCAACCCAGAUGCCCGGAUGGAAUUCCAACAACCUACACUUGCAGCUCCACAUGAUGUACAACCUGAGAACUUGUUACACUGUACCCUGUGGUUCGAAGACAACCCAGGCCCUGAUGUGGAUUAUGAAGAAGAACUAUUUCAACUUGUGUAAGUUCACAUCACAUUGACAGACUUGUUAUGGGACACCAGAGGCAACAUGGUCCUACUGGUGCACCUCCCAACAGAAGUAUCCCACCUCUACCGUCACUGGGAGACAGCUGUUCCACACAUAUCCUUCACUAAAUCCCCUGAUUUCUCAUGGAAAGAUCUAGGCCCAAUGGCCAGGUCCUGGAGUGCAACAACCCAAGAACAACUUGAAUCAAUGGGAGUAACUAAGAAGAUUAUCAACUACAGUACAGUUGGAUAUCCUCGAUACCACACAGAAAUUUGUGAAGAUCUCCCUUCCAUGGAAUAAGACUCAGAAGCCCCUCAUGAUUGCUUUGAACAGAUGGAGAUGGAAACCACCCAUUUACCAACUGUACAUGAGACUGCUCUACCUAAUCCAGAUCGGAUACUGUUUGUGGAUGGUUCCAGACUUGCUGAUGAACAAGGGCAAUAUCACACUGGAUAUGCAUUUACCACAGAAUGUCAAAUACUACAGGCAGCUGCACUUCUGCCAACCAAAUCAGCUCAAGAAGCCGAACUAACAGCCCUCACAGUGGCCUGCAAGCCAUCUGAAGGUCUACGUGUCAACAUUUAUACAGACUCAAGAUAUGCCCUGGAAGUGGCACACGAUUUUGGCCUGAUUUGUAAAACCAGAGGAUUUCUCACAGCCACCGGCACUACGGUGAAACAUGGCACAGCCAUUGAAGAAUUAAUGGAUGCCCUAAUACUUCCAGCAGAAGUGUCAGUGCUCAAAGUGAAAGCCCAUGGGAGGCUGAAUUCAGAAGAAGCACAAGGCGACCACUUGGCUGAUCAAGUCUCCAAGGAAGCAGCACGACAAGGGUGUAAAGUGGACAGAAGAGUGGCCAUUGAAACAACACCCGUUUACACCAUGCAAACAUUGCCUACAGACCUCAGACUCUUAAAGGAGCAACAAGCUGCUGCGACCCCCCCAAGAGAAACAAAGUUGGAAAAACAGAGGGGCUGUUCUCCGAGAUGAUGUCUAUACCAUCAAUCUUAAGUUCUGUCUACCCAAGAAUAUGCAUCCAGCUGUUGUCCAAUGGGCCCAUGGACCUGCCCAUUUGUCAAAACAUCUGAUGAACUCUCUGAUUGCUAAAUAUUUUGAAGCACCAGGUAUUACUACUCUAACACAGAAUUAUUGUAGAUCUUGUGCAAUUUGUGCUAAAUGUAACCCUGGGAAGAUUGUUAAAACUGCACCCAACCACUUGGCCAAACCACAGUACCCUUUCCAGAGGAUACAGAUUGACCACAUCCAGAUGCCAAAGAGUGGAUGCUAUGAAUACGCACUAGUCAUUGUGGAUAUGUUCUCAGGGUGGCCAGAAGUUUUCCCAGUGGCCAAUCUUACCGCAAGGACUACAGCUAAACAUCUUCUGACGGAAAUUGUCUGCCGGUAUGGAGUUCCAGAAGUGAUUGAAAGUGACCAAGGAACUUCCUUUACCGUCUCAUUGACAUGGGAAGUCUGGGCAACACUGGGGGUGACCCUUGCCUUCCACACGCCAUAUCACCCACAGAGUAGCGGUAAGGUAGAACGCAUGAAUGGCACGUUGAAAGCCAGAAUGCUUAAAUUGUUCCAGGAGCCCAAUAUGCCCUGGCCCAAGAGUCUUCCCCUAGCACUGUUCAGCGUACGAUAUACCCCUAGAGGGAAGUUCAGCUUAUCACCCUACAAGAUCUUGUUCGGUACAGCACCAAGGUUAGGUUGUUAUUUCCCCCAGCUUCAGUCAGAUGCUAUGGUAGAUUAUGUAACUGAUCUCUCUCAUGCCUUGACCAAACCCCAUGCCCAAGUGUUUUCUUCUAUUCCAGAUCCUGAGUCGAAUACAGGUACACACAAGUUGCUUCCAGGUGACUGGGUUAUGGUCAAGAAAUUCCUCAGGAAGCACACUCUUGAGCCAAGAUUUGAUGGUCCUUACCAAGUGCUGCUAAUCACGGCUACCUCAGUAAAGCUGGCCGGAAAAAGUUCCUGGAUACACGCCUCGCAUUGCAAGAAAGUGCCUGCUGCAGAAGAAGCUGUCCCUACUGAGCCAUGAAUUCAUUGUGUUUCUUAUGUUUUCUUUUGCUGCUAAACUUUAC